UACGAAGGGGGCGAGCGUUGUUCGGAUUUACUGGGCGUAAAGGGCGCGCAGGCGGCGCAUCAAGUCAGGCGUGAAAUCCCCGGGCUUAACCUGGGAGCUGCACUUGAAACUACGAUGCUGGAGUAUGGCAGAGGGAGGUGGAAUUCCACGUGUAGCGGUGAAAUGCGUAGAGAUGUGGAGGAACACCGAUGGCGAAGGCAGCCUCCUGGGCCAAUACUGACGCUCAUGCACGAAAGCGUGGGGAGCAA
rnacentral:rRNA from 1 species